CAAUUUAAACAACGAAGAGUUUGAUCCUGGCUCAGGAUGAACGCUAGCGACAGGCUUAACACAUGCAAGUCGAGGGGCAGCGGGGGUAGCAAUACCCGCCGGCGACCGGCGCACGGGUGAGUAACGCGUAUGCAACUUACCUAUCAGAGGGGGAUAACCCGGCGAAAGUCGGACUAAUACCGCAUGAAGCAGGGGUCCCGCAUGGGGAU
rnacentral:rRNA from 1 species